AAAAGGCUGUUCAGGAGGAGGAACACUCAGGGAGAAGCAGUGGCUCAUUGGCAGCCCCUGCUGCGGGAAGGAAGGCGAUGCCAGACACGGGCACAGGCACAGCAGAUGCAGCUGGCACCACAAGACCUGUUACCGAUGCCCAGGAUGGCCUCGGAAGGGGUUUCUGUCAGGGAACAGUCUGCUGGCUAGGGUUACUGGGAGGCGUGCUUUCUUUGGUGCCUGUCUUCAUGUUGUGCUGCUUUGGAAUCGGGUAUUCCUGGAAGAGAAAACAGUGUUUCUGUGCAUCCUCAGCAGAUGGGCCAAACAACGCAGGCAGUGGGAACUUGACAGUUUAUCCCAGCUAUCCACUUCUGCCUGUAUCUGCCCUGCCAUGGCUGCAGCAGCGUCAUGAGGCCGUCCCAAAACCCACCCCUCCACAACGAGACCCUCUACCCCCGAGCCCCCUUGUCCUGUUCCCUGGCCAGGACUGAAGUUCGGCAGCCCCUGUCUGCCAGGGCAGGGCUUGGCCCACAUUUUAUGUUUAAGUAAA